rnacentral:rRNA from 1 species
GUGGGGAAUAUUGGACAAUGGGCGAAAGCCUGAUCCAGCCAUGCCGCGUGUGUGAAGAAGGUCUUCGGAUUGUAAAGCACUUUAAGUUGGGAGGAAGGGCAGUAAGUUAAUACCUUGCUGUUUUGACGUUACCAACAGAAUAAGCACCGGCUAACUUCGUGCCAGCAGCCGCGGUAAUACGAAGGGUGCAAGCGUUAAUCGGAAUUACUGGGCGUAAAGCGCGCGUAGGUGGUUCAGCAAGUUGGAGGUGAAAUCCCCGGGCUCAACCUGGGAACUGCCUCCAAAACUACUGAGCUAGAGUACGGUAGAGGGUAGUGGAAUUUCCUGUGUAGCGGUGAAAUGCGUAGAUAUAGGGAGGAACACCAGUGGCGAAGGCGACUACCUGGACUGAUACUGACACUGAGGUGCGAAAGCGUGGGGAGCAAACAGGAUUAGAAACCCUUGUAGUCC